GGUUCGGGUUACAGAGGAAGGUCCUGACAGUAGCAAUGUACCAAAAACAUGGAUAUAAAAUUAUACAUUUUUUCAUAAUUUAAUAUUAAGUCACACUAGCCAAAAAAUUCUUAGAAUAAAGUUGGGGUUUUUCCUUCAGCCGUUGUGGUUGUACUGUACCUUUAGGUUAUCUAGAUCUACAACGGCUGAAGGAAAAACCACGGAUUAAUUUCUCAGAAUAUUCGGCUGCUUAGUAUUAACAUUAAAAAUAUUUAUGUGUAAUAUUAAUUACCCUAUUUUUUUCAUUACAACUGUAAGGACCUUCCUCUCCAACCCUAACCCUACCCCUAGACUUUCUAUUGGAUUAAUACACGUUUUCAAGACCAGAACAUGUGUGGUCAUGUAGCUCUACGGGUUACGCCUGUGAUGUUCAGGACUCAUUCUUGUAUUUUACACUCUCUGAUGUUUUCUUUUCUUCAUGUCUAGUGUGUGAAUCAUUUCUGGUUUGUCUCUUCAGUGUCUCAUGUGGCCCUGCAGCUUCUCCUCCUCCACCUCCUCCUGAAGCCUUCAUCUUCUUCAUCAUCAGCUGCUCAGUGACUCUGUUGGACGUCUCACCGUGUGGCAGCAGCUCAGGAGUUUGCAGUCAACCAAGGCCGACUCAGAAUCACUCCCACCGGGAAGAUCUGUGAAGGAAGGUCCACCCGGCUGGUCCAGAAGCUCCGGUCCAGCAGAGCAGCGUCAGGAUGGAGACGUAACCGGUGUUGAUGUCACCGCCUUGACGAAUAGAAGAAUAGCCUGUAUUUGGGAUCCAGUCCAGUGACACUCCACUCCACUCCACUAUCAUCCUCAACAAGGUUCCCAGCGGGGAUUCGAACCAUGACCAUCCACAUGACAGACACACACCCUCUGUGUGAGCUAUCUGUCACACAAGGUCCCUGGUGGAGUUUGUUGUAAUGAUGGUUGCAAGAGGUUGUCAUGCAGCCAAAGUGUAAAAAGAGCCUUGAGCUGGAUUCAAACCAAGGACCUCCUGGAUGAGAGGCAGAUAACUUACCACUGCACUAUCCUUCCUACUGGGUGUAGCUGUUACUUUUCGUAAAUGAUGGUACACAAAAGUAUUAAGGAAGUGAAGAUAAUAAAGGUACUAAGGUACCGGGGAGGCAAAAAACUUACCUCUACACCACCUGUCCUACAAGAUGUUGCUCUAACUUUGCUUAAAUGAUGCUAUCAAUUAGUACUGGCGCAACCAAACGACAAAUAAAAGGUGUGAGUGGAGAUCUGAAUCAUGUGAGGUUUGUUUCUGAGACUGAAUACACCUGAUCUCAUCUGAUCUGCAAAGCUAAGCAGGGUUGGGCCUGGUUAGUAUUUGGAUGGGAGACUACCUGGGAAUACCACGUGCUGUAAGCUUUUUACUUCUCCUCACAACCUGAACAACACACUGCUAGCGACAGCUAUCAACUAAAACCUCUUGGUUUCUUUAUUAUACACUCUAUGAGGUGGAUAAGCUGCAGGUCAUGCUGAUUUAUUGCUGCUUCUGGUUGGAGCCAAAGAACAAAGGCUUCACCUGUUGGAGCAGCUGAUGUCCUGCAGCCUCUUCACCACAGAAAGCCUCUGACAGCUUCAAUUCUUUACACUCUGACUGCAAGACACCAGUCACAUAGGAACAUUUACAUGUAUGGAACAAAGAGCUGAGCUGACACUCAACAUAUGUUUGAGCAUUUAUUGAUAAAGACAUUCAAACAUGUCUAGAGAUAGAACACCAACGCACGGUGUAAGAAAGGUCAGAACAGACUUCACCUGCUCAGGAAACUGAGGUCCUUCGGGGUGCAGGGAGCAAUUCUGAGGACCUUUUAUGGUUGUGUGGUGGUAUCAGCCAUCCUGUAUGGACUGGUCUGCUGGAGCAGCAGCAUCACGGCUGCAGACAGGAAGAGACUAAAGAAACUGGUUAAGAAAGCAAGCUCUGUCCUGGGCUGGUGGUAGACAGGAGGAUGAUGACAAAGCUGUUGUCUAUCAUGGAGGACAUCUCCCACCCCCUGCAGGAAACAGGACCAUCACCGGCAGCUCCUUCAGGGACAGACUGCUUCACCCACGAUGUUUGAAGGAGGUCCUUCCUUCCUGCAGCAGUCAGACUGUGUUCAAUCAAGCCUGCUCCCAGUAGUUCAGAUCACCCAUGAAGUAACUGCAAUAAAAUGUAAAUAAGUCAAUAUGUGCAAUUUCACAGGGUUUUUUUUUUUACAAGCAUUUCUAUUUCUUCUCUAAGGAGAAAGCAUCUAUUUAUAUCUGUGCACUGAGUGCUGCUUUUUUUUUUUUUUUUUUUUACUUUUUUUCCUAUCUGCUACUGCCACACUGAAAAUUUCCCCACUGCAGGAUCUACCUAUCCAUCCAUCUAUCUAUGGUCCAUCUACCUCCCUACCUAUCUAUCCAUCCAUCCAUCCAUCCAUCCAUCCAUCUAUCCAUCCAUCCAUCCAUCCAUCCAUCCAUCUCUCUCACAGGUGUGGGGGUUGAUUCACCUGUUCUCAAUCACCUUAAUCCACGAAGGCCCGGUUCUUCAUUCUUCCGCUCUCUGCCAGACCACAGACUUUGAAACCAGAACCUUUCUCCUACAAUUAGUCUGGUUUCCCCUUUUUGUUUUCACCUUGGUUUAGUUAUCCUUUCUGUGUUGGUUUUAGUUUCAUUCGUUAAAUAAACUCCUUGUAAUCUUUGA